rnacentral:rRNA from 1 species
UACGUAGGGGGCAAGCGUUGUCCGGAAUGACUGGGCGUAAAGCGUGCGCAGGCGGUUUUGUAAGUUUGUCGUGAAAUCCCCGGGCUCAACCUGGGAAUUGCGUUGGAGACUGCAAGGCUAGAAUCUGGCAGAGGGGGGUAGAAUUCCACGUGUAGCAGUGAAAUGCGUAGAGAUGUGGAGGAACACCGAUGGCGAAGGCAGCCCCCUGGGUCAAGAUUGACGCUCAUGCACGAAAGCGUGGGGAGCAAACAGG